rnacentral:misc_RNA from 1 species
UACGUAGGGGGCAAGCGUUGUCCGGAAUUAUUGGGCGUAAAGCGCGCGCAGGCGGUCAUGUAAGUCUGGUGUUAAAGCCCGGGGCUCAACCCCGGAAUCUACUGGAAACUGUGUGGCUUGAGUGCAGAAGAGGAGAGCGGAAUUCCACGUGUAGCGGUGAAAUGCGUAGAGAUGUGGAGGAACACCAGUGGCGAAGGCGGCUCUCUGGUCUGUAACUGACGCUGAGGCGCGAAAGCGUGGGGAGCAAACUGG